rnacentral:rRNA from 1 species
UACGACUACAUAUCAGGCAUAUCAAUAAGCGGAGGAAAAGAAACUAACUAGGAUUCCCUCAGUAACGGCGAGUGAAGCGGGAAGAGCUCAAAUUUGAAAUCUUCAAGGUUCUACCUUGACGAAUUGUAGUUUAAAGAAGUGUUUUCUGUUGGAGUUUUGGUAAAAGUUCUUUGGAAUAGGACAUCAUAGAGGGUGAGAAUCCCGUAUUUGACCAUUAUUUCCAGCUUUGUGAUACACUUUCAAAGAGUCGGAUUGUUUGGGAAUGCAGUCCAAAAUGGGUGGUAAAUUUCAUCUAAAGCUAAAUAUUGGCGAGAGACCGAUAGCGAACAAGUACCGUGAGGGAAAGAUGAAAAGAACUUUGAAAAGAGAGUUAAACAGUACGUGAAAUUGUCAAAAGGGAAGCGUUUGACACCAGUGUUGUUUUCUCGAAAAUCAAUUAAAAAAGGCAGGAUUUUGUGUUGUAUUGACUUUAUCAGCUUUCUGCACUCUUUUCUUGUCUUUUUUAAUGCACUGUUCGUUUAACAAGUCAACAUCAAUUUCUUUUGUUGUAAAAGGGUCAUUGGAAGGUGGCUUUCUUUUCGGAGAAAGUGUUUAUAGCCUUUGGCCUCUGCAAUCGGAGAGAUUGAGGUCUGCAGCGUAGAUCCUUCGGGGUUAGAUACAUUUGUGCUAAGUUAUAGCCUUUCAUAGACAACUUGUUGACUAUGAUCAGUCAUGUAGCUUACUCGCUUAUGCUAUUUUACCUACGCUUAGGAUGUUGAGCGCAUGUCUCUCUCU